GUUGUAAUACUGAAUGACUUAUAUAUAACUGAAUCUCUUUUGUUUUUGGAAAAAUGUGAUAUUUUUCUUUAUGUUCACAUAGUUACAGAAUUUACCACUAAAUGUAAUUAUAUCAAAACUUAAUGUUAGCAUUAUUUCUUAAAGUGCCUGGAUAAACAAGCCAAAAAUAGAUUGACAGCGUUUAUAUUUAAUUUAAUCUUUAAUCUUCUUUUAUUGCUAUUGUAGUUUGAAAAUAUUUCAAAUGUCUCUAUAUUAAUGAAAAUGUUCAGUUGUUGUGCUUUGUUAAGGUGCUGUACAUGAAAAGAAAGAAAAAAUGAAGGCUAAACAUCAAAAAAAAAUUGUUGUAGAAAUCAUUGAAAUGGUGAUGUUUGUUGUUUUGUUUCAUUGAGUUAAAAACUGUGGUGUUUGCAUAUCUAGGAUUUUGAAAAUGGGGCCCCAUCAUGGCAACUUUAGGGGCAGGACUUAAAAAAAAGUGUAUUCAUAAACCAUAUUAGUAUACCCAUAAGUACUGCCAUUGUGUAUUGUAUUGUUAGCAUACAAUUCUUUAUUUAGAUUUUUAAGAAAUUGUUGAGAGAUUUCAUUAUUUUGUGAAGGAUUAGAAUAAAAGGAUUAUAUUUUUGUAUUUGAGGGAGUAUGAUACAUUACCAUAGUAACAGAUUUAUGUGAUAUUUUGUUUUUAGUUAACAAAGAUUUGUUGAUUCAUAUUUUGGACCAUUUUUUCAUCCUUACAAAUAUGGGUAACAUUUUGGGACACUUCACUAUCUGAAUUUCUUAUACAAGAAACGGAAGAUAAAAAACUUAACAAGCCAUUGUAACACAAGAAUUAAAUAACAACUUCAGCUUUAGUUUAAGCUGUGCUAAAUGAAAAAUAAAAACCAAUGCAACAUGUCAUUUUCAAAAUAUAUAUCUAACAAGUUAAAGUUGGGUAAGAUACAAAUUUGUUUAUAUAUUGUGUGGAAAUUAUAACCAUAGUUAGACAUUUAAAUUACUGUAAAACCCCACAUUAUUUUGGAGGUCAUGGAAUCUUUGCUUCACACAUUUUAUAUUUUUUACAACAAAGAAAAAUCAUGAUCAUCUUGCCAGCCAAUAUAUUUGAUAAAAUAAUUUGAUAUUUAUCAAACUAUGUUAAGGUACAUUUAUUGUUUUGUUUACAGAUAAUUGCAUUCCAUUCCUUAUAUAUUACAUUGGUAAUUCACCAGAUUCAAAGAAUUGUGGGUAAUUUCAUUGGUUUUACGCCAAAAUGAAUAUAACUUCCCACCAUUGGUUGAAGAUCAAUUGUUUAAGAAAAUAUCAACCAAUCAAAGCAAUAUGGUGUACAAUUUAAAAAUAUUACCGAGAAUGCAUUUGAUUUUGAAUCAUUAAAUUUAUUUUGUUUUAUAUUAUGCAUAAUCUUGGAAGAAUCUGGUUAAAAGUAUAAUGAUCUGUGAGAUGUUUGUUUACGUUUUGAUGUGAUGGUAAUUUGUAUUAUCUGCUGUAAUUUAGCUUUGGAUUUCAUUUUCAGUUUAAAUUGUUAUGUUUACAAGGAAUUUGCUUGUCAAUGUAGAUAAUUUUAGAGGUAAUUUAGACAAUUAACAAUAAUAUUGUUUUACUAAAUAGCUUUAGGCAUCGAGAGAAAAACGUUGUGGUUCCAGAUUUAUAUGAAGAUAAGUGGGAAUGGUCAAUGGGUCAAAAUUUUGUAAAAUAACUUUCCAUAAAAAUGAAGCAUCAUUUUUUUUUUGGAUUUUGGAUGGUUCUUGGUGUACAAACAAAUAGGAUUAGAUCAUUAACUGCAAACACAGCAUUUUUCUAUCAUAACCAUUAACAUAUACUGUGGAUUUAUUAUUAUUCUUUUGAUACCAAUAUUAGUGGAUUUUGUAGUAACCCUUGAACCACGAAAUCAAAUGUCCAACAAAUAACAAAUUUGAAUAGGCAUUUAUGGUGGUACCCAACACUUUCACUAAAAUUAAUUUGGCUUGUUUAAUUUUCAUAAAAUUUUGUCAAAGUAUGUACUUUGAUCCUUUAACAAAAAUAUAAAAAAUUCAAAAUUUUUGAACCAACCGUUUUGUCAGAAAAAUUACACUGGUUAUAUAGCAGUUUGACAAACACCAAUUUUGAUCAUUGAGAAGCUAAAUAUUCCUUUUACAACACAACGUAAUUAAAACGUUUAGAUGACUUUACAUAGUUAUCUCCCUGUUGUGUUAGGUACCACCUUAUGCAGAACUUUGCAAAACCAUGAAAUCAAAUAUCCAUGAAAAUGCAAGUUUUCCUCAAUCCAGGAAAAUUUGUUCCCACGAAAAUAAAUGAAUCUACAGUAGUUGAAUUGCUUUGUGCAAGUUUCUUUUUUGUUGCUGAUAUUUACAGCAUGCAAAGAUAAAUGAAAUUUUAAUUUCAAAUAGCAUCACCUGGAACUUCAUUGAAAUUAGUAAAUUUUCCUUUGUUGGACUACAAAAAAUACAUUCUUAUAUUAAUUUUGUGAUAUGUUUUGUGAUUUAGAUGUUGUGUCUAUUGAUAAAUGUGAUUUUGUUUGUUUAUUUUAUUUGUCUUUGCCAAUUAAGUGCUAUUUAAAUGUUCAUAUAUUUUAUGUAAAUGUAUUAUCAUAUUUUGUUUCUUUAUAUAUGACAAGGAAGAGUUUUUCAUAUCAUAUAAUUUUAUUUUAUAAUGUGCUUUCAAUUUGUAUAUAAUAAGGUAAAUAGGAAAGAAAGAAAAAACAUAGUUGUGAUUGUAUCUCCAUCAGCAGUUUCAAUGCUAUUAUCAAUUUUCCUGAGUUUCAGACCUUAUCAGAAUGGUAAAUAGGAAAAAAAAAAAAUUAAAAAAAUUAAAAAAAUUGUUGUGAUCUAGUACCAUUAGCAGUUUCAGUGCUUUUAUUAAUUUUCCGGAGUUUCAGACCAUAUCAGUAUGGUAAAUAGGAAAGACAAAAAAAAAUAAAAAAUUGUGAUCUUAAAACCAUCAGCAGUUUCAGUACUUUUAUCAAUUUUCAUGAGCUUCAGACCCUAUCAGUUUUAGUAUUGUUGCAUAUUACCCAUUGGGCCACAGUGGCAAAUAAGAUCAACCACAGUGAUCAUUAUCCUUUCAACUUUUGAGAUUUUGAGUUCAAACCCUGCUCACGUCUAGAUGCUUUAAGAUGUUAAAUGACAAAAUUGCUAUUGAUAUUGUUUAAAGUAUGGUGGUUAUCAAUUGGAUGCCAGCUUCCUACAUCAACAGAACACUGACCGCCAUGAUAUAGCCAUGGUCUUGAAAUAUUUUGCAUAGCAUACACGAGAAUAAUAUUUAUAUACUUCUUAAG
rnacentral:lncRNA from 1 species